AGUCAAACAGCAAUAGAGCCAGAUGUCCCGAAGUGCUGGGUGGAUGAUUUCUGAGCAUGACUAGCAGACUAGCACUUAAGCCCUCAUUGCUUACAGGGUGUGGUACACUUGGAUGUGUUACAUAAGAGACAACACCUGUUAAGUCUUCCAAAACUUACUCCCUCCCCUAGGAAUAUUUUUACAGUUACAGGAUCUCAGUGAGGAAAAGGUUUACUGGAUAGUUAAUAUGUGCCUCCUAUUUUGACACAUUCUGCUUACCUGACUCCCAUACUUUAGACCAUGACAGGCAGCUUGGAGUUGUGACUGGAGUCCAGACGGACAUCUGGCUGGUUGCACCACUUUGGAAUCCUAGUUUACUAGCCUUGCAGAGGUGGAACAACAGAGAUCAUUCUAGGCUUUUUUUUUUCUUUUUUUUUUUUUUUAAUGUGCUGGUCAGUUUUCCUGAACUAUGUUUUUCCUCCUUUAAAAAUUGUUUGUUAUAUAGCUCUCUGGGAAGGAAUGGGAAGGCUACAUUGGGAAAAAUAGAUAACAUUAAAACAAAAAGUAUCAUUAACUAUUUCUAGUUAAAAAAACCUGGUGUAGCAAGGCCCAGCUGAGAAUAAGAUUCAAACUCCUCAGAAUGAUGGCAGUGUGAUAGCUUGACAGAUAGGCACCAUCUAAAAUUUUCUCCAUCUUGCCAGAGAGUUGUUCAGGCCUUCAACAUCUCAAUCCAUGAGUUGGCUGAGAGUACAAUAAGACUGGGAAAAGGAAGGUGUCUCUCUUUCUACAAAUUUAUCUUUCUCUACCUAAAUAUUCUGGAAUUGCAAUCUCUUGGAAUCAGUGCUAUGGAAAGAGCAAAUUUUUGGAUGGAGGAGUGGAUAGAGAAGUGAAUGCUGAUAGCAGUGGAUAAAAGCACACUACCACCACACCCUUCCCAUUUGACAUCAACUUUUAAGGUUAUCAAACAUAAAAAUUGUUAACUCAAAAUCUUACAAAGCAAUUUAGGAAUAGAACCUUGUUUAAAUUAUAAAAUCAGCACUGGGAUAUGUAGAGUAGAUGACAGAACCUGGAAGUGAGUAGAUAGAUCUACUUCUAACAGGAGUUCAAAAUUAGAAACAGACUCCAUUCCCUAACUCCCAGGAAUUACAUUCAAUGUUUCUGCAACUAGGUACAGCUUUCUACUUCAUUUUCUGACUUCAUUGCCCACAUCAACUCUCCUCCUUUCCCAAUUUGGCCUUUUCCAACUAUGUAAAGCAAAACAGAAAGAGAAGGAAAGAGACUAGACUUUAAAUACCCGGUAUAAAAAGUUAAAGCCUUACCUUUUUAACAUUAAAGGAUACCCACACCACAAGAAGAAAAAAACCCCAAAGCUAUGAAUUCUAGUAUUGCCUGCCUACUGUCAUUCUCCUCACAAGAUACUAAUGGUUUUGUAAUCACUGCUCCUUUCUGAAGAGGACCCUGGUCAUGAAAGGUUCCCCCUCUUCUGGGAAAGGAACAGAGAAUGAUGAAAAACAAAUACUGAGCAAAGUUUAACUAAAACUGGGCCAUACCCUUUCGGGCAAUAACCUGAAAUCAUCUGGACCUGGAGAACUGUCUCGGUCAAGACCAUCUUCUAACUACCAGGUUGUGUGUCCAAAUUUAUGAUUGUCAUAAGAGACAGUGAACUUAUCUCACUUUUAUCCUUUGUAUUUCCUUCAAGAAGAUUCUUGCGAAUAAAUUUUUAAUCCCCUUUCCCCCAUCCUUCUUUUUAGCUGCUUUUUAUGUGUUGUCUUUAUAUAUUAGAUUAAAAAGUCUUUGAGGGCAGGGACUUCCAUUUUUAUUCGUAUCCCCAGCACUUGGCCCAAUGCCUGACACAUGGUAUGUACUUAAUAAAUAUGCUAAUGACUAAUAAAUUCUAAAGCCUUACACCAGCUUUCAUGCCUUUCCCCUCAAGAUGGCCUAAUUCCCUUUGAUAUUCAAUUGAUUAUUUUCUUAUUCCAUUCCUUGACUAUAUUAAAUGACUACUUGAAUGCUACAGAAGGCUGUUGUUCUGUUUAUAGAUGUCCUCUAUAUCAACUAACACUUUGCCUUUAAGAAUCAGUAUUUCCCACUACCAUAGUUCCUUCCAUCAAAACAAAGCAUAGUCUCCUCUCCCCAUGCCUCUGCAAAUAAGUUUCUGUGGGUUGCUAU
rnacentral:lncRNA from 1 species